GGCAUCAUUAGUCUCUUCAGAUAUCAAUGAAGUAUCAACUCUAAGGCAACAGAUUGGUAAGCAAAAAUAUAUCAAAUGUUUUUAUCUCCCCAAAGCUUGGUAGGCUGUUACAAUUAAGGAUGCUACUUUAAUUGUGGUUGCAUCCCUUUCUCAACUUAAAAAUAAAAUUUUGAAACACAAACAUUGUAAAACAACGCCGCUGUGCUAAGAAACAAGUUAAGUGCAGUACUACCAGGUACAUUUGACCUUAUAACUAUACCACUAUACAUAAUAACCAUGUAAAGUAAUUGUUUUUAACAAUAAAUAAAAUAAUGUACAUACCAAUAUAUAAAAUUAUAUAUUUACCAAUGUUUAUCUUAUGAUUAAUAUUCUAAAUCUCAUUCAAGAUAUAUUUAAGGAAUUAUAUGAAAUUUUCAAGUUUUUUAUUUUUAAGUUCUUCUGCAAA